rnacentral:lncRNA from 1 species
UUAAGUUUCUUUUUAAUAUAGAAAGGUAUUAAAAAGAGGGUGAAUGAGAAAUGGAGGGAAAUAAAAAUUUUGAGUAAAAUUUUAAGUUUCCCUCUCCUUUUAAUGAGACAUUAUCCCUCAUUGGUAGAGGAAAAGGAGUUUGGUGGGUUUAUAUACAAAUGCACUUCAUGUAGCUCUUAAAGAGUUAGGAAGAAGGCAAGCCUCGCGCCGUCGUCGCUCGGCUCGGCUACGGCUUCGGAUUCGGUCAAUUGAUUGAUUAAUUUUUUGCACCAAAUUUAUUUGUUAAUAGUAAAUAUUAACGUAAUAAUAUCCGUGUUUGUAACGGAUGUAUUCUAAAUCUGUGGAUCUGUUCCAGCAACAAGUGCUCAUUCCACCAUACAUAAUGCUCCAUUAUAACAGAUUGGUGCUACAUCCACCAUGAAAAAAAAGUGCUCCACUAAAUGAGUGGAAUUGCACUAUAAAUAGAUGGUGAGCAAAUUGUUGAAACACACAGAAAAAACGGACAGAAAACAGAAAGCAACGAGCAAUCUGAUUUCCUCUUCUGUUAUCGCUCAACAUUGGCUAUAAAUUGCAUUUUCUUCCUCUCAGAAUUUCCAUUCGACUUCUGAGUUCUCCUCCUUUCUUGUGCAUUGCUUUAAACUACAAACAAAGUAACCGUAAGUGUGAUUUGCUGCCGAACUUUGUGUUCGCUGAAAUACUGGGGUUUGAAGUACCGCUACACCAGUGUGUAAUUCGUUCUAUCCUGCGAAGAAAUAAUUCAUAACCUUGGGUACUAUGAGGGGAUUAAAUUCCUUAAGGAAACACUGUGAAUUCAUUGGGCUCGAAUUAAUUACUGUUUCAUUUAUAUUUACGUUUAUAUGCUAACGUUCUUUUCUCUAGAAUUAUUAUUUACAAAUACAAACUUAAUUUAACAGAACUAAUUGAAACUUAGAACUAACAAGGAUUAAACAUGAACCAAGAUAUAAAUAUCAUCUAAGUGUACGGAUUAUUUCAAACACAUAUCAACAGACUAUUCAUUCAACAAUUUUAUAAACCCAAACUAAAGCAUUACUAAAAGAACUGGAAGAGAAGAUGAACCUCAAGUGAUGAUUUUUUUUCUUUUUGAAGCUCGAUCAAGCAGACAACAUUGGUUCCAAAGUUUGCAAAAGAGAAACCAGCAAAGAAGGAGCUCAAUAGCGACCUCGACUUCGACUCGAAAACCUUGACACAACUCGGCAAUUUUGAAUGAUGUUUUGGGGGCUGUUUUAGCUAGGUUAGUCAGCUAGUUUUUGUGCUGAUUUACAGCUGCAUUUUUGCUAUUUUCGCAGCUGGUUUGCUGUAUUUUUGAGGUAUUUAAGAGGUUAAGAUUUGGAGAAGAAAAUAGCUAACAUGGUAAAAAUGUCAAGAUGACCAUGGGGGAAGAUGAGAGCUCGUGUGCAUUUGAGCUACUGAACUUGGAGCCAAACAGAUCUAUGAGAGGCCACUGCUGCUCGAAUUCUCUUCUGUCCGAGAGAGAGUGACGAUGGAGAUCCCCUUUAGGGAAGUGCGGCUGUUUCUAGGGGUGUAGCCAUUUUUAGUUCUUCUCUGUUUUUCAAAUGCAUAUGAAGAAACUGAAAUCAAAAACAGAAAAUCUUUGUUCUGUUUUCUUAUGGGAAUGAAGGCUCAAAAAUUAGUAAAGAAAUAAUGAAACAAAACUCCCAAAAAGCCAUGGAAACUCUUGAAAAUCCCUCCUUUAAUUGUGAUUGUGUGCAUUUCUGAUUUCUCACGUCCCUCUGCUUUUUCGUUUUCCAGCCUCCCCUGUAUUUUGCUUUGUUUUUCGUCCUCCCACAGAUCCCUUUCUCUCUCGUUUUUUACCAGAUUCUCCCGUUUCUUUCUGUUCGUUUCCUGCCCAGAAAAUCCCCUCUAUUUUUUUUUCUUGUUUCGUGUGUGUAUAUAUACAGCCAUCUCCGGUGUUGGCCAAGAAAAAGCCAUUGAGAUAAGAACGUGUGUGGCUUAAAGGAAUAUUUCUUGUUUCGCUCUGGCAUGUGGCGUGUGUGUAAUUGUAAAAUCCAAUUGUGAGAGUUUGUUAUCCCGUUGUUUGUCCACUAGUGGGGA